rnacentral:rRNA from 1 species
AUUGAACGCUGGCGGCAUGCCUUACACAUGCAAGUCGAACGGCAGCACGGGAGCAAUCCUGGUGGCGAGUGGCGAACGGGUGAGUAAUGUAUCGGAACGUGCCCAGUCGUGGGGGAUAACGUAGCGAAAGCUACGCUAAUACCGCAUACGAUCUAUGGAUGAAAGCGGGGGAUCGCAAGACCUCGCGCGAUUGGAGCGGCCGAUAUCAGAUUAGGUAGUUGGUGGGGUAAAGGCUCACCAAGCCGAGGAUCUGUAGCUGGUCUGAGAGGACGCACAGGCACAAUGGGACUGGGACCAGGGCCAGACUCCGACGGGAGGGAGCAGUGGGGAAUGUUGGACAAUGGGCGCAAGCCUGAUCCAGCAAUGCCGCGUGCAGGAUGAAGGCCUUCGGGUUGUAAACUGCUUUUGUACGGAACGAAACGGCGAGCUCUAAUACAGUUUGCUAAUGACGGUACCGUAAGAAUAAGCACCGGCUAACUACGUGCCAGCCGCCGCCGUAA